rnacentral:rRNA from 1 species
GACGAACGCUGGCGGCGUGCUUAACACAUGCAAGUCGAACGAUGAAGCCCAGCUUGCUGGGUGGAUUAGUGGCGAACGGGUGAGUAACACGUGAGUAACCUGCCCCUGACUCUGGGAUAAGCGUUGGAAACGACGUCUAAUACUGGAUAUGACUACUGGUCGCAUGGCCUGGUGGUGGAAAGAUUUUUUGGUUGGGGAUGGACUCGCGGCCUAUCAGCUUGUUGGUGAGGUAAUGGCUCACCAAGGCGACGACGGGUAGCCGGCCUGAGAGGGUGACCGGCCAAGCUGGGACUGAGAAACGGCCCAGACUCCUACGGGAGGAAGCAGUGGGGAAUAUUGCACAAUGGGCGAAAGCCUGAUGCAGCAACGCCGCGUGAGGGAUGACGGCCUUCGGGUUGUAAACCUCUUUUAGUAGGGAAGAAGCGAAAGUGACGGUACCUGCAGAAAAAGCACCGGCUAACUACGUGCCAGCAGCCGCGGUAA